rnacentral:rRNA from 1 species
AAUAUUGGACAAUGGGGGGAACCCUGAUCCCGCCGUGCCGCGGGUGUGAAGAAGGUCUUCGGAUUGUAAAGCACUUUACGUUGGGAGGAAGAGAUGUCGGCUACUACCUUGCAAUUUUGACGUUACCAACAGAAUAAACACCGGGUAACUUCGUUCCCGCCACCGCGGUAAUACGUAGGGUGCAAGCGUUAAUCGGAAUUACUGGGCGGAAAGCGCGCGUAGGUGGUGCGGUAAGUUGGAUGUGAAAGCCCCGGGCUCAACCUCGGAAUUGCUUUGAAAACUGACGAACUAGAGUAUCGGAGAGGGUAGUGGAAUUUCCUGUGUAGCGGUGAAAUGCGUAGAUAUAGGAAGGAACACCAGUGGCGAAGGCGACUAACUGGACGGAUACUGACGCUGAGGUGCGAAAGCGUGGGGAGCAAACAGG